AUGAGGGUGCAGAGAUUGAUGGUCAUUCACUUUGGGGAAACGAUGACGCCUCUUUAGACCCUAUACGUGUUCCUUCUGCAGCGGAACUUGAGGCUUACGCUUUACCCACGAAAGGAAAAUCCAAUGCAAAGAAUGACUCACAGCAAAUUGACCCUACAGGUACAAUUCUUAACUCUUGUGUAUUUUCAUUGCACUUUAAGCCCCUUUUUUUU
rnacentral:lncRNA from 1 species